rnacentral:rRNA from 1 species
UACAGAGGUCUCAAGCGUUGUUCGGAUUCAUUGGGCGUAAAGGGUGCGUAGGCGGCGCGGUAAGUCGGGUGUGAAAUCUCGGAGCUUAACUCCGAAACUGCAUUCGAUACUGCCGUGCUUGAGGACUGGAGAGGAGACUGGAAUUUACGGUGUAGCGGUGAAAUGCGUAGAUAUUGGGAGGAACACCAGUGGCGAAGGCGGCUCACUGGACCGGAACUGACGCUGAGGCGCGAAAGCGUGGGGAGCAAACGGG